rnacentral:rRNA from 1 species
UACGUAGGGCGCAAGCGUUGUCCGGAAUUAUUGGGCGUAAAGAGCUCGUAGGCGGCUUGUUGCGUCGACUGUGAAAACCUGCGGCUCAACCGUGUGGUCUGCAGUCGAUACGGGCAGGCUGGAGUUCGGUAGGGGAGACUGGAAUUCCUGGUGUAGCGGUGAAAUGCGCAGAUAUCAGGAGGAACACCAGCGGCGAAGGCGGUGCUCUGGGCCGGAACUGACGCUGAGGAGCGAAAGCGUGGGGAGCGAACAGG